GCGGAUGUGGCGGAACUGGCAGACGCGCUGGAUUUAGGAUCCAGUGCCGCAAGGCGUAUGGGUUCGAGCCCCUUCAUCCGCACCA
rnacentral:tRNA from 4 species